AUGGGUGAUCUCAAUGAGAUCAUGUACUCUUUUGAGAAGGAGUGAGUGAAUCCUAGACCUUGUCAUCUUAUGCAGAGUUUCAGAGAUGCGGUUGAGGACUGUAAUCUAACCGAACUAGGAUUUGUAGGGGAUAAGUUCACAUGGAAGAGGGGGAGAAUUCGAGAAAGACUAGAUCAAGGCCUUGCAAAUGAGGCAUGGAAUACAAAAUUCCCGGGAGUAGUUAUUGAGCACUUGGAUUAUUAUAGAUCCGAUCAUCGGCCACUUUUCUUUAACUUGGAUCAUGCUUCGGAUCAUACCUAG
rnacentral:rRNA from 1 species